rnacentral:rRNA from 1 species
AGAACGAACGCUGGCGGCAUGCCUAAUACAUGCAAGUCGAACGAACACUUCGGUGUUAGUGGCGCACGGGUGCGUAACGCGUGGGAAUCUGCCCUUGGGUUCGGAAUAACAGUUGGAAACGACUGCUAAUACCGGAUGAUAUCGAAAGAUCAAAGAUUUAUCGCCCAGGGAUGAGCCCGCGUAGGAUUAGCUAGUUGGUGAGGUAAAGGCUCACCAAGGCGACGAUCCUUAGCUGGUCUGAGAGGAUGAUCAGCCACACUGGGACUGAGACACCGGCCCAGACUCCGUACGGGAGGCAGCAGGUAGGGAAUAGUU